CUCAAUCCAUUUACGAUCCCUCAGAGCCUCCCCUAUACCAUUCUUCAUUCUUCCGCAUCACCAUAAGACUGGUCUCUCUUGAAGGUUUAUGAUGGGUGAACCAUCAUUACAAGAGCCGAAUGAGAAUGUUGUUGUAGCAUAAAAAUCAACCCCACUGAGCAAUCAAAUGAAGCACCACUUAGCAUGUAAGGGAUGAAGCUGAUCUUUCUUCUAUUUUGUUUCAGCAUAAUCUCUAGCUUUUUGAUAUGUAAUGGAUUGUAAUAUGCAUCAGUUGGAUUGUCAUUCAAUGAAUGUUUUUUCAUUCAUCCACUGACAGAACUUGUGUAUGUUCUUUUGCAUUAUGAUUAUAACUUGUGUUUCAAUUUUUAUUCA